UUAAGCGACUAAGCGUACACGGUGGAUGCCCUGGCAGUCAGAGGCGAUGAAGGACGUGCUAAUCUGCGAUAAGCGUCGGUAAGGUGAUAUGAACCGUUAUAACCGGCGAUUUCCGAAUGGGGAAACCCAGUGUGUUUCGACACACUAUCAUUAACUGAAUCCAUAGGUUAAUGAGGCGAACCGGGGGAACUGAAACAUCUAAGUACCCCGAGGAAAAGAAAUCAACCGAGAUUCCCCCAGUAGCGGCGAGCGAACGGGGAGCAGCCCAGAGCCUGAAUCAGUGUGUGUGUUAGUGGAAGCGUCUGGAAAGGCGCGCGAUACAGGGUGACAGCCCCGUACACAAAAAUGCACAUAUUGUGAGCUCGAUGAGUAGGGCGGGACACGUGGUAUCCUGUCUGAAUAUGGGGGGCCCAUCCUCCAAGGCUAAAUACUCCUGACUGACCGAUAGUGAACCAGUACCGUGAGGGAAAGGCGAAAAGAACCCCGGCGAGGGGAGUGAAAAAGAACCUGAAACCGUGUACGUACAAGCAGUGGGAGCACGCUUAGGCGUGUGACUGCGUACCUUUUGUAUAAUGGGUCAGCGACUUAUAUUCUGUAGCAAGGUUAACCGAAUAGGGGAGCCGAAGGGAAACCGAGUCUUAACUGGGCGUUAAGUUGCAGGGUAUAGACCCGAAACCCGGUGAUCUAGCCAUGGGCAGGUUGAAGGUUGGGUAACACUAACUGGAGGACCGAACCGACUAAUGUUGAAAAAUUAGCGGAUGACUUGUGGCUGGGGGUGAAAGGCCAAUCAAACCGGGAGAUAGCUGGUUCUCCCCGAAAGCUAUUUAGGUAGCGCCUCGUGAAUUCAUCUCCGGGGGUAGAGCACUGUUUCGGCAAGGGGGUCAUCCCGACUUACCAACCCGAUGCAAACUGCGAAUACCGGAGAAUGUUAUCACGGGAGACACACGGCGGGUGCUAACGUCCGUCGUGAAGAGGGAAACAACCCAGACCGCCAGCUAAGGUCCCAAAGUCAUGGUUAAGUGGGAAACGAUGUGGGAAGGCCCAGACAGCCAGGAUGUUGGCUUAGAAGCAGCCAUCAUUUAAAGAAAGCGUAAUAGCUCACUGGUCGAGUCGGCCUGCGCGGAAGAUGUAACGGGGCUAAACCAUGCACCGAAGCUGCGGCAGCGACGCUUAUGCGUUGUUGGGUAGGGGAGCGUUCUGUAAGCCUGCGAAGGUGUGCUGUGAGGCAUGCUGGAGGUAUCAGAAGUGCGAAUGCUGACAUAAGUAACGAUAAAGCGGGUGAAAAGCCCGCUCGCCGGAAGACCAAGGGUUCCUGUCCAACGUUAAUCGGGGCAGGGUGAGUCGACCCCUAAGGCGAGGCCGAAAGGCGUAGUCGAUGGGAAACAGGUUAAUAUUCCUGUACUUGGUGUUACUGCGAAGGGGGGACGGAGAAGGCUAUGUUGGCCGGGCGACGGUUGUCCCGGUUUAAGCGUGUAGGCUGGUUUUCCAGGCAAAUCCGGAAAAUCAAGGCUGAGGCGUGAUGACGAGGCACUACGGUGCUGAAGCAACAAAUGCCCUGCUUCCAGGAAAAGCCUCUAAGCAUCAGGUAACAUCAAAUCGUACCCCAAACCGACACAGGUGGUCAGGUAGAGAAUACCAAGGCGCUUGAGAGAACUCGGGUGAAGGAACUAGGCAAAAUGGUGCCGUAACUUCGGGAGAAGGCACGCUGAUAUGUAGGUGAAGUCCCUUGCGGAUGGAGCUGAAAUCAGUCGAAGAUACCAGCUGGCUGCAACUGUUUAUUAAAAACACAGCACUGUGCAAACACGAAAGUGGACGUAUACGGUGUGACGCCUGCCCGGUGCCGGAAGGUUAAUUGAUGGGGUCAGCGCAAGCGAAGCUCUUGAUCGAAGCCCCGGUAAACGGCGGCCGUAACUAUAACGGUCCUAAGGUAGCGAAAUUCCUUGUCGGGUAAGUUCCGACCUGCACGAAUGGCGUAAUGAUGGCCAGGCUGUCUCCACCCGAGACUCAGUGAAAUUGAACUCGCUGUGAAGAUGCAGUGUACCCGCGGCAAGACGGAAAGACCCCGUGAACCUUUACUAUAGCUUGACACUGAACAUUGAGCCUUGAUGUGUAGGAUAGGUGGGAGGCUUUGAAGUGUGGACGCCAGUCUGCAUGGAGCCGGCCUUGAAAUACCACCCUUUAAUGUUUGAUGUUCUAACGUGGACCCGUGAUCCGGGUUGCGGACAGUGUCUGGUGGGUAGUUUGACUGGGGCGGUCUCCUCCUAAAGAGUAACGGAGGAGCACGAAGGUUGGCUAAUCCUGGUCGGACAUCAGGAGGUUAGUGCAAUGGCAUAAGCCAGCUUGACUGCGAGCGUGACGGCGCGAGCAGGUGCGAAAGCAGGUCAUAGUGAUCCGGUGGUUCUGAAUGGAAGGGCCAUCGCUCAACGGAUAAAAGGUACUCCGGGGAUAACAGGCUGAUACCGCCCAAGAGUUCAUAUCGACGGCGGUGUUUGGCACCUCGAUGUCGGCUCAUCACAUCCUGGGGCUGAAGUAGGUCCCAAGGGUAUGGCUGUUCGCCAUUUAAAGUGGUACGCGAGCUGGGUUUAGAACGUCGUGAGACAGUUCGGUCCCUAUCUGCCGUGGGCGCUGGAGAACUGAGGGGGGCUGCUCCUAGUACGAGAGGACCGGAGUGGACGCAUCACUGGUGUUCGGGUUGUCAUGCCAAUGGCACUGCCCGGUAGCUAAAUGCGGAAGAGAUAAGUGCUGAAAGCAUCUAAGCACGAAACUUGCCCCGAGAUGAGUUCUCCCUGACCCUUUAAGGGUCCUGAAGGAACGUUGAAGACGACGACGUUGAUAGGCCGGGUGUGUAAGCGCAGCGAUGCGUUGAGCUAACCGGUACUAAUGAACCGUGAGGCUUAACCUU
rnacentral:rRNA from 1 species